UAUAGCUCAUUGGAAGAGCACAUGCUUAACACGCACGAGGUCCUGGGUUCAAUCCCCAGUA
rnacentral:tRNA from 1 species